CUACGUGCCAGCAGCCGCGGUAAUACGUAGGUCCCGAGCGUUGUCCGGAUUUAUUGGGCGUAAAGCGAGCGCAGGCGGUUAGAUAAGUCUGAAGUUAAAGGCUGUGGCUUAACCAUAGUACGCUUUGGAAACUGUUUAACUUGAGUGCAAGAGGGGAGAGUGGAAUUCCAUGUGUAGCGGUGAAAUGCGUAGAUAUAUGGAGGAACACCGGUGGCGAAAGCGGCUCUCUGGCUUGUAACUGACGCUGAGGCGCGAAAGCCAGGGGAGCGAACGGGAUUAGAUACCCCGGUAGUCCUGGCCGUAAACGAUGGGUACUAGGUGUAGGAGGUAUCGGCCCCUUCUGUGCCGGAGUUAACGCAAUAAGUACCCCGCCUGGGGAGUACGACCGCAAGGUUGAAACUCAAAGGAAUUGACGGGGGCCCGCACAAGCGGUGGAGUAUGUGGUUUAAUUCGACGCAACGCGAAGAACCUUACCAGGUCUUGACAUUGAUGGACAGAACUAGAGAUAG
rnacentral:rRNA from 1 species